AGUGAACGCCGGCGGUAGGCCUAACACAUGCAAGUCGAACGGCAGCACAGUAAGAGCUUGCUCUUACGGGUGGCGAGUGGCGGACGGGUGAGGAAUACAUCGGAAUCUACUUUUUCGUGGGGGAUAACGUAGGGAAACUUACGCUAAUACCGCAUACGACCUACGGGUGAAAGCAGGGGAUCUUCGGACCUUGCGCGAUUGAAUGAGCCGAUGUCGGAUUAGCUAGUUGGCGGGGUAAAGGCCCACCAAGGCGACGAUCCGUAGCUGGUCUGAGAGGAUGAUCAGCCACACUGGAACUGAGACACGGUCCAGACUCCUACGGGAGGCAGCAGUGGGGAAUAUUGGACAAUGGGCGCAAGCCUGAUCCAGCCAUACCGCGUGGGUGAAGAAGGCCUUCGGGUUGUAAAGCCCUUUUGUUGGGAAAGAAAAGCAGCAGGUUAAUACCCUGCUGUUCUGACGGUACCCAAAGAAUAAGCACCGGCUAACUUCGU
rnacentral:rRNA from 1 species